rnacentral:snoRNA from 1 species
AAGCAGAAUUUAGUCUACAGUUUAGCUGUGAGUGCUAUUGUCACUCCCCCUGCUUAAAAUAAAGUUGUUUCUUAACUACAUCUCUCUGCUUGACACCUGUAGCAGCUAGGAAUACUUGGUCUCAGUUAA